CAACUUUCUUGGAAUUGGGUUUGUAAAAUUGGAACGAUACAGAGAAGAUUAACAUGGCCCCGGCGCAAGGAUGAUAUUUUUCGGGGAUAUGGCAGCCUACUGGUU